rnacentral:ncRNA from 1 species
AAAAGAGUCUCCAAUAUCGCGGUCAUCAGGAUAGCAGUCGUCUGCAUUUGCCUGGGAGGGGGGCAAAUUUUCCUUGUCAUUCUUGGAAGGAGGAUGGAGCUGCCCCCCUCCCACCGCUGGUGAAUCAUGAUAAGUAGUCGAAUUGACAGGCCUUGUGCCGGCGAUGGCUCAUCCAACUUUCCCAUCAACUUUCGUUGUUUGGGUCUCGUCCAAACAUGGUGGCAACGGGUAACAGGGGGCUAGGGCUCGAUCUUA